GGAAAAAGGAAACAAAAUGAGCGAAGUUUAUUUUUCAGGAUGUUUCCAAUGAAUUGCCACUAACCGAAGAGAGGGGGCACUACAUAUU
rnacentral:sRNA from 12 species